GGAAGUGGCCGUAGCUCAUUGGUAGAGCAUGUGCUCUGUGCGCAAAAGGCCACAGUUUCAAUUUCUGGCAUCUCUA